AUACCUUUCUCGGCCUUUUGGCUAAGAUCAAGUGUGGUAUUUGUUCUUAUCAAUUUAAUAUCUGAUACGUGAGCCAUUGGUUCACAUGAUAUUAAAUUGAUUUCUUUGAAGGGGAUAGCCCAUUAGAGCAUCUCCAAUGCACUAGGCAUAUAAUAUUUGUUAGUUAAAAUGCGUAGUGUGAUUCACU